CUGCACGUAGAACAAGUGUGUCCUGCAGAAAGAGGAAGGAGCCAGCAUGUCAUUUUAAAGUGAGGUUUCCAGAGGAAAUGUUUCACCUUAAUCACCAGGGAUCAAUCAGGAAGCAUGCCUGAACAAGUCACCUUCGCUGCUCAGCCUUUUUAACCCACUCCUGACACUUGCUCCCUAUACAAUGACCUAAGAGGGCCACCUAACCCCAAGGCUGAAAGGUCAAGUAACCUCCUACACCCUGCUGGGUUCAGGGGCACUGACAUGACAACCCAUCAGCACCCCAGAUCAAGUGGUCUGGACUUGCCCCUCCUGCUCUGUGUUAUACACCUAACUGGAUGAGCACACUAAAUACAAGUGUACCAAAUCUAUCCACAUAAAAAAUUUUUUAUAAAACCCAGACCUGAAAAACAAAUCUGAUUGAUAAAUAAACAAAUAGACACAGAGACAAUUUCCAUUCUAGCAUCCAAGUUAUAUACAAACUAAAAAAUUACUUUUGAGGACAUGUGAGACCGAUUGACACCACUGGCUUGUAGUUUGCAAGUUCUGAAGAAAAAAAAAAAGAAAAAGGGAAUUUUAUUUCCACUUAAGAUUUGCACACCUAGUGACAUAUCUAGUUUAUAUCACGGGACAACAAUAGAAGCUAUACAUUUUUCAGAUUCUGAGUAAAACCAGCUGCAAGUUAUUAGUUUCCCCCAUGGACUGACAACACUCUUUCCUCUAAAUACACCAAUUGCUUGAGAUAUGUCAGGUAAAAAUACUUCACCCCAAACAGUGAACAAGUGGACCAAUUCUCACAAUAUAAAGACUAAUAUUGCAGAAGCACGGUCCACAGCUCAUAGAUGCCUGAGCUCUUUGGCAAUUAAUAAUUUUAUUUAAAUAAUCUGAGAUCUUAAAAUAAAACAUGCAAAUUCAUAUGCAUGACCAGGGAAUUGAAUUUAAACCAAUGCAGAGGCACAAAGGUAAAAAAAAA